CCUACGGGAGGCAGCAGUGAGGAAUAUUGGUCAAUGGCCGGAAGGCUGAACCAGCCAAGCCGCGUGAAGGACGAAGGUGCUAAGCAUGGUAAACUUCUUUUGCCAAGGGACAAAAUCAGUCUCGUGAGCCUGACUGAGUGUACUUGAAGUAAAAGCAUCGGCUAACUCCGUGCCAGCAGCCGCGGUAAUACGGAGGAUGCGAGCGUUAACCGGAUUUAUUGGGUUUAAAGGGUGCGUAGGCGGGAUGUUAAGUCAGCGGUAAAAGCCCCGGGCUCAACGCGGGAACUGCCUUUGAAACUGGCAGACUUGAGUGUGGGAGAGGAUAGCGGAAUGCGAGGUGUAGGGGUGAAAUCCGUAGAUAUCUGGAGGAACAUCAGUGGCGAAGGCAACUAACUGGCACAGAACUGACGCUGAGGAGCGAAAGCGUGGGUAGCAAACAGGAUUAGAUACCCUGGUAGUC
rnacentral:rRNA from 1 species